UUAUAAAGGAGGACCUUUGGAGGUAUGGCAUGACGGAUUUUUUGGCCAGGAGUUGCCCGGCUAACCUUGGAGCUGGAGUGUGUUGCUGCGCAGACCAUGAUAAUGCAUCAGCCAGGAGCCGCUCCAUAUUUUCGUUGGCUUGUUUUGGACACAGGGCAGAUACGAGG
rnacentral:sRNA from 1 species